rnacentral:rRNA from 1 species
AGUCGAGCGCCCCGCAAGGGGAGCGGCAGACGGGUGAGUAACGCGUGGGAAUCUACCCAUCUCUACGGAAUAACGCAUGGAAACGUGUGCUAAUACCGUAUACGUCCUUCGGGAGAAAGAUUUAUCGGAGAUGGAUGAGCCCGCGUUGGAUUAGCUAGUUGGUGGGGUAAAGGCCUACCAAGGCGACGAUCCAUAGCUGGUCUGAGAGGAUGAUCAGCCACACUGGGACUGAGACACGGCCCAGACUCCUACGGGAGGCAGCAGUGGGGAAUAUUGGACAAUGGGCGCAAGCCUGAUCCAGCCAUGCCGCGUGAGUGAUGAAGGCCCUAGGGUUGUAAAGCUCUUUCACCGGUGAAGAUAAUGACGGUAACCGGAGAAGAAGCCCCGGCUAACUUCGUGCCAGCAGCCGCGGUAAUACGAAGGGGGCUAGCGUUGUUCGGAUUUACUGGGCGUAAAGCGCACGUAGGCGGACUAUUAAGUCAGGGGUGAAAUCCCGGGGCUCAACCCCGGAACUGCCUUUGAUACUGGUAGUCUUGAGUUCGAGAGAGGUGAGUGGAAUUCCGAGUGUAGAGGUGAAAUUCGUAGAUAUUCGGAGGAACACCAGUGGCGAAGGCGGCUCACUGG